rnacentral:rRNA from 1 species
UACGUAGGGUGCGAGCGUUAAUCGGAAUUACUGGGCGUAAAGCGUGCGCAGGCGGUUUUGUAAGCCAGAUGUGAAAUCCCCGGGCUUAACCUGGGAAUGGCAUUUGGGACUGCAAGGCUCGAGUGCGGCAGAGGAGACUGGAAUUCCUGGUGUAGCAGUGAAAUGCGUAGAUGUCAGGAGGAACACCGAUGGCGAAGGCAGGUCUCUGGGCUGACACUGACGCUCAUGCACGAAAGCGUGGGGAGCAAACAGG